UACGUAGGGGGCAAGCGUUGUCCGGAAUCAUUGGGCGUAAAGCGCGCGUAGGCGGCCAGAUAAGUCCGGUGUGAAAGUCACAGGCUCAACCUGUGAAUGCCGCUGGAAACUGUCUGGCUAGAGUCCGGAAGGGGCGAGUGGAAUUCCUGGUGUAGCGGUGAAAUGCGCAGAUAUCAGGAGGAACACCAAUGGCGAAGGCAGCUCGCUGGAACGGUACUGACGCUGUGGCGCGAAAGCGUGGGGAGCAAACAGG
rnacentral:rRNA from 1 species